AGUGGGGUGGUUGAUGGAGCAGCUGCUCCCUGUGCCUUGCCCAGCUGAGAAGAUUAUUCUGUUGUCAGUCAAUUUGCCUUUCCUGCCCACCUGAAGUUCUUCUGCUGUCCUCACUUGGAUCAUCUGGUGAAUUUGCAAAACCUUAUACCUUGAAUCCAUCAGUGAACCAGACUUCCUCGUGCACAUAUAAUUCAUUGUGCUCUCAUGAGAACAGUUCUGUGCUACCCAAAGCGUAUGAUUAGUCUGGUUUUGGAAGGCUGAUUCAGCAGACAUAUCUCCUGUUGCAGUCUCAAGUGCAGCAAGUAUGACUGAGAAGAGGCUGUUCUUUUAGCACAGGGGAUACAAAUUCAGAGGAAUGGAAAUUGCAGUGACGUAAAUGUGUUGAUGGGCAGUUAUUAGGAGCAGCAGGGCUAACUCUCAGAGGAAGUUCUUUCUGAGCCAAGCAAAGUGCCCUGGCUGAGCCUUACUGCUGUGUUUGGAGAUGAUGGCCAUUUCCACGUGCUGAUUAGUCAAAGCUGGGUGAUGUGAAGUAGCCUAGCCCAAGUGCGUCAGUUAUCCAGAUGUCAGAGCCAGUCACUCAGAUAAAUGAACUUGGUGACCUGCUGCUUCUCUUCCAUCACUCUCACACACUGUCCGUGUUGAAGCCCUUGAGCAUCACUGUUGUUGCCUCCUUCAGAGCCAGCUGGCCUCAGGGAAGGAAUCUGUCUGUCAGUGACUGGGAGAGCUCUCCAAAUGGCUGUGACUUGUGUGCUGGCUCCGAGAACUCCUCCUUCAUGCUUUUAUAGCCUGCAGAAAUGGGCCUCUCUAUUAUCUGAAUCCGUGAUUGUUUGGAGAUUGCUGGGCUCUGCCAUGACCCAGGGAUAAUAGCCUUGUGCUUUAUAGCAUUCUGCUGCCCUUUAAAUUUGAAGUGUAGUGAGAGCAAAGUGUGGCAGUUCUUGAAGCAGCAUGGAAAAGGAAGCAGCGUCGGGCUUUGAAGGGAUCUAAAGCAAGCAGGGUGCAGCCAGUUCCACUGCCCUGCUGCUGGCCCUUCGCAGCUGCUGCUUCCCGGUGCCUCGCUCUGAACUACCGCACUCUGCCCUGCUGCUGGGAAAGGGGGGGCAUAACUGUGGAGUUAGAGCUGGCAUCCUGACUGUGGGAUGGGGCUGCGCGUGGCAUGAGGCUGUCAGGCAGCAGGAGCACGCGUGCCAUGGCAUCCCUGCAGUGGGGUUAAGGUAUGCUUCCAACUCACGAGUUAUACGCUGAGUUACCACAGCACCAAUCUUGCCCCUUUGCCCUGCUCGUCCCAGCCUACCAAUAGCUUCUAGAACACUGCUACAGUGGAGGAAGAAGACUUGGAAUCCUAGGUGUCAUAUUUGCUUCUUGGUACAUACGCGGA
rnacentral:lncRNA from 1 species